UACGGAGGGCGCAAGCGUUGUUCGGAAUCACUGGGCGUAAAGCGCGUGUAGGCGGCUUGGCAAGUCGGGUGUGAAAUCCCGAGGCUCAACCUCGGAACCGCACUAGAAACUGCUUGGCUCGAGUCCCGGAGAGGGUGGCGGAAUUCCCGUUGUAGGGGUGAAAUCUGUAGAUAUCGGGAGGAACACCAGUGGCGAAGGCGGCCACCUGGACGGCGACUGACGCUGAGACGCGAAAGCGUGGGGAGCAAACAGG
rnacentral:rRNA from 1 species